UACGUAGGGGGCAAGCGUUGUCCGGAUUCAUUGGGCGUAAAGCGCGUGUAGGCGGCUCGAUAAGUCUGCUGUGAAAGUCCAGGGCUCAACCCUGGGAUGCCGGUGGAUACUGUCGAGCUCGAGUCCGGAAGAGGCGAGUGGAAUUCCUGGUGUAGCGGUGAAAUGCGCAGAUAUCAGGAGGAACACCAAGGGCGAAGGCAGCUCGCUGGGACGGGACUGACGCUGAGACGCGAAAGCGUGGGGAGCAAACAGG
rnacentral:rRNA from 1 species